rnacentral:rRNA from 1 species
UAUAAUAGUACGCCGGCCCCUUAUUCCAGGGUUACUUUUGGUGUUAAGUGGUGGGUACAAAGGGCAGCUGUUGUAACAGGAUGGUAUUUUCUAAAACAAAUCUCCGUUUUAAAAAAAGUCUGCAACUAGACUUCGUCUACCUGGAUUGGAUAAAAAUCGCGCAUCAGCCAUGGCGCGGUGAAUACGUUCCCGGGCCUUGUACACACCGCCCGUCAAGCCAUGGAAGCUGGGGGUACCUGAAGUCCGUAACCGCAAGGAGCGGCCUAGGGUUAAACUAGCCCGUGUGGCUAAGUCGUAAAAAGGUACCCGUAAAUCCCGCGGCCAUGGCGUGCCGGGCAGUCAAAAGUGCGACGGGGUCCCUAUAAA